AUAUUCUGUAGCAAGGUUAACCGAAUAGGGGAGCCGGAGGGAAACCGAGUCUUAAUUGGGCGUUAAGUUGCAGGGUAUAGACCCGAAACCCGGUGAUCUAGCCAUGGGCAGGUUGAAGGUUGGGUAACACUAACUGGAGGACCGAACCGACUAAUGUUGAAAAAUUAGCGGAUGACCUGUGGCUGGGGGUGAAAGGCCAAUCAAACCGGGAGAUAGCUGGUUCUCCCCGAAAGCUAUUUAGGUAGCGCCUCGUGAAUUCAUCUCCGGGGGUAGAGCACUGUUUCGGCUAGGGGGCCAUCCCGGCUUACCAACCCGAUGCAAACUGCGAAUACCGGAGAAUGUUAUCACGGGAGACACACGGCGGGUGCUAACGUCCGUCGUGAAGAGGGAAACAACCCAGACCGCCAGCUAAGGUCCCAAAGUCAUGGUUAAGUGGGAAACGAUGUGGGAAGGCCCAGACAGCCAGGAUGUUGGCUUAGAAGCAGCCAUCAUUUAAAGAAAGCGUAAUAGCUCACUGGUCGAGUCGGCCUGCGCGGAAGAUGUAACGGGGCUAAACCAU
rnacentral:rRNA from 1 species